CCUACGGGAGGCAGCAGUGAGGAAUAUUGGUCAAUGGACGAGAGUCUGAACCAGCCAAGUAGCGUGAAGGAUGACUGCCCUAUGGGUUGUAAACUUCUUUUAUAUGGGAAUAAAAUGUUCCACGUGUGGGAUUUUGUAUGUACCAUAUGAAUAAGGAUCGGCUAACUCCGUGCCAGCAGCCGCGGUAAUACGGAGGAUCCGAGCGUUAUCCGGAUUUAUUGGGUGUAAAGGGAGCGUAGGUGGAUUGUUAAGUCAGUUGUGAAAGUUUGCGGCUCAACCGUAAAAUUGCAGUUGAAACUGGCAGUCUUGAGUACAGUAGAGGUGGGCGGAAUUCGUGGUGUAGCGGUGAAAUGCUUAGAUAUCACGAAGAACUCCGAUUGCGAAGGCAGUUCACUGGACUGCAACUGAUACUGAGGCUCGAAAGUGUGGGUAUCAAACAGGAUUAGAUACCCGAGUAGUC
rnacentral:rRNA from 1 species